CAAGACCGGUGCCAGCCGCCGCGGUAAUACCGGCUGCUCGAGUGAUAGCCACUUUUACUGGGCUUAAAGCGCUCGUAGCUUGGUCGUUAAGUCUCUGGGGAAAUCUUUUGGCUCAACCAAAAGGCGUCUCAGGGAAACUGGCGAUCUUGGAACCGGGAGAGGUAAGACGUACUUCGGGGGUAGGAGUGAAAUCUUGUAAUACCCGAGGGACGACCGAUGGCGAAGGCAUCUUACCAGAACGGCUUCGACAGUGAGGGACGAA
rnacentral:rRNA from 1 species